GAGAGAAGAUUAAAAAGGAUGAAGUAGAGCUGGUAAGAGAUUUUUUAAAAAAAAGGAAAAGACUGUCAUUGCUCAGCACGGAUUUGCAGUCGCUGACUGGCUUUUGAAGAACUGUCAGAGCCUUGGCUUUUCUGAGAGAUCACCACUUGUGACCGCUCACAACGCAAAGCAACAAAAUGGCACUUUAACAGGAUAACUUUUACAGCUGAGAAGUUCCAACGUGCUCUGGAAUUCUUUUCUCUUGGAUAUUCAUUAUCUUCUGGCUGGUAUUUUUAAACCUGCCUAUGGGAGCUGGAUGCCCAAUUCCCAUUAAAAUUAAUGUAAAUUAAUGGAAAAUGAGUAACCAAAUUAAUUAAUUGAAUUAAAAUUAAUGAGAGCUGGGCAUCCAUAUCCUUAAGGUAAGUUUUUAAAGCUUCAGCUAGUGAAUUUUAGGGUAAUGCAGGGAUGGAUAGACAUAAAUAUAGGCUUUGGAUAUGCACAGACCUGCAGGAAAUACGGGAAGGAAUUUCUGCCAGAUCUCUGUAGAAAGAAAGAACUCAGCUCUUUCAAUGUAUGACUGAAGCUUCUGCAAAGACAGAUAGAUGUUAAUAAAUGGCAAUGUUAAAAAAAUCCUGUAUAUCUGUAUCCUCAUCCUGGGCAAGGACUGAUUGUAAUUUAGCUUAAUUCCAGAUAAUAAGAGGUAUCAGAAUGAGAUUGAGAUAUAGUUUGAUUUUUAAAGAGGAUAUGUCAUAAUGUACUGAAAUAUUUAUUAUUUAGAGCUUCCCACAGUUAGCUUCAGUAACUGUUUCUUACUUUAACCUUCAUUAUAUUUCCAGAAUAUAUAGAUUAUUCCAAUCAUUCCAAUGUAUUUAAAGCUGCCAAUACUCUUCACCACCACCAUCACUAUAGCUCUUCUGCUCUAAAAAAAAAAAUCAAACAAAAAAAAACAAAAAUAAGACCAAACAAACAAACAAAACAAACCCCAAACAGUCACAUUUAUAGACCAGCAAAAAGACAGCUGAGAAUAAAAUUCAUGGUUUCAUGUUAGUAUCAAAAGUAGAAUUUGGGUCUCCCCAGAACAAGUACUUUUUGCUGACAGUUGAAAUCACAGAAACUGCAAAAUAUCCAUCAAUAUCUUUGUUUUCCAGUAUUCAGAGUGGCCUUCCAUCUACCAAUAGCUUUUCAACUGAAUUUUUAACCACAUCAAUUUUGUUUCUUUCAGUAGUGCUGAGCUAUGUAUGGAAUUUGUUCUGUAUAUUCAGCAGCCUCACUCCCACAGUCACCUCACUGUUAUAAUGAAUUCAUUUGUAAAAGAAAAGUUGUCACAUUUCAAGGAACUUUUGCUGCUGUCACUGACACAACUGAAUUCUCUUGUCACGUGAAAGCAUAGUAAACAUAAAAAAUGUAUGCACUAUUUCAUUAAAUAACAGAGCUUUCUUAAACUAAUUAUGUAGAGUAACUACUUGGUAUUUAAGUAAGUAAAGUAGUUGGAUUAACAUAUAUUUGAUGUCUUGUAGUUGGAAAUUCCUCAAUAGUUUUUUCAGGCUUUCAGAGAAUAAAGUUUUUCAUGUGAUUCAGAUAUGGAAAAAAGCACCUUAUAUAAAAAAGAAAGCUUUCAGAUUAUGUCCUGUAUAGAGGACUAUUUUUAUGCUAUCAUUUUAGAAAAGUAACUUUAAAUGGGCUGUUUGGAUCACCCUUCUGUUCCUCAUACUCCAGUGUUCUAUGAAACGUUAGGCUAGCAGAGUGUAAUAAAGCCAGUACUAGUUACAGAUUCCUGCAGAGUAUGAUGUACUCAUGUUAAAAAUGUAAGAUUUUUUUUCUGGCUGAAAUAAUUGUAUGGUAUUCAAUUUGUGAUAAUAUCCCCACAUUCAAAUGCUGUUAGCUUCCCUUUAAACCUUUCUAUCCUAGAAGAUGAAAAACAGCCACCAUCAUUUAGCAGAUUAAAAAAGUUUGUCUAGUUAGAACUUCAAGAUUUCACACACACCUUACAAAAAAGUCUGUUAUUGUUACAUGACCAAAAAGCAUGCAUUAGUCAAGCUGCUUCAGCCAGCCCACAGCAGGUCCCAAAACCUUGGAUGUGGCUUCAACAAGAGCCCCAUAGCAGAAAACAGUUCCUCAAGGGACUCACAGCAAAUGUAUUAUACAGUCAGAUCCCAGAACAUUAUUUAUUCUUGUAAAGAACCAGGAAAUAAAGCACAAAAGUACAGAAGGUGCAGAAUACCCUGGAAGCUCUGGACUCCUGACACCUGGUGAGUGUUAGAAGCUCCUGUCCCUCAGGUAGCACAUGGUACUGCUGCAUGCACCAACAGUCCCUGCUAACAGUGAUUCUGAAUAGAAUGUACCCUGCUGAGACUUAGCACUGAAAUAGAUCACUGACUUGAUUUUUUAAAUUAUUUUCUGUGGUCAACAUUCAAGCAAGAAUAGGCCAACAUAUUAUCCCACCAGGUAAAGCCAAUUGAAGUACUAUCUGCAAAUUCAAUAUCUGGACCACUUACCUAUUUUGACUUUCAUCCUUCAAAAAGGUAUUUCAUUUUGCAAUUGUGAUAUGUGAUAUUAGCAUUUGCUUUUAAAGAGCAACACUGAGGCAAUAGCAUAAUGCAAAUUAGCCUGUUGGUAUUCUUCAUCCCAUUGUGUUCACAUACAAAUAACUGCUGUUGGAAAAACAAGAGGUUAACAAAGUUAUGAAUGUUCAGGAAAAAAGACAGCAAAGUCAAAAAGGUCAUUUGUUGAUCCACGCCCUGUAAUACACACCAAGAUUUGAUGAGGCUGUGUGCCCAUUACCUGGAGAUUUUCAGAACUUACUUUUUCCUUGUGCUGCGUGCUUUAUUAUGUUAUUCUUUCUGAUUUACCACCACAGACAUCUAAACAGAAAGCAUUGUUUUACUUGAAGGAUUUACAUAGAAUGCUGAAAAUGUUAAGUGUAAUUGAAUAAAACUGCUGCUAAUUAAAAAAAUAAACAACUCCAGUGUUUUAUCUAGGAAUAUGCACAGAUGCAAAAGUUGAAAGAAAAUCAGAUUGUUAAAGUUUUGAAAGAUAAUAACUGAGAAUAUAAGGUGAAAUUCCUACUGCACUCCCUGUAAUUAGUGUCCAAGGAUCUACUUGAGAUUUCUGCUUCCUCUAAGUAAGGCAGCAGCAAUUCAGAACAAGUGCAGAACCGGUUACCUAUUUCUGACUAGUUUAUUCUCAGGUUGAUUACAUUAUGAUGGAAAAAAAAAAUGCAUUGGCACUUUUGGCUUUUUCUA